UUCAGUUCGAAAUAUCGCACUCUUACGAAGAAUAUCUGUUUUUUUUACAAGAAAUAGAGGAACAACGCCUGCUUUCUUAUUCUGGGGAGCCUUGGGCUUGGCCGAGGAUGUUCGGGGUAUUGGUUUGGGAAGGUUGGAUCUCUUCGCCUGACGUCUGUUGAGGUCUGGUGCUGGUCUAGGAAGAAAAAAAAAGUUUUUUGUGGCGCUGCCUUCCUCGUAGAGACUCAGUCCAGGUUUGAACAACCUCAGGGGUGGAUCCUAAUGGGAA